GGACAUGAAGAAAUGGCAAGAUAAGCCUCUCAGAAGGGGCCCUAGCAACACUUUUCACACCAGUCAACAGUAUCUCCUUCCCCAUUUCAGUGACUCUCAAACUGUCACUGUACACCAAAUGUACCUGGGAAUCUCAAUUCCAGAGAUUCUCACUUGGGGUGGGGCAAAGUAUUGGCAAGAAUCUGCAAGCUGAACAGGUGCCUCAGGUGAUUUUGAUACAGGUCUUGGAGAUCCAGAAACGUUGGCAACAUCUAUUUCUAUCCUGCCUAUCUCUGUACCCUAACCCCAAAUAACUCAAUCCCUUUAGAAAACAGGUGGAUGUCUGAAAGGCAGCCAGUGCUCUUGGUCUACUUAGCCCUCUGUUCCUGACUCUAAAAUGCUGUAAAUAUGGUGGCAUUGGGGGACUUAGGUGCUGUCCUGUCCAUGAAUAUGGACGUGAAAUCCUGUCCUUGGGUCUCAGACUAUAACCUGACCAAUCUCCUUAGGGGACCUCUAGGCAUGCUUCCCUUAUUAUCCAAGUAAGCAACAUGCUUAGAGAACCAGCUGGAAGUUACCCAGUGAAUGACAUGGUUGAGGCUUACACACCAUCAUGCUCGACUCUCAGCCCAGGACUCUGCUCUGCACUAGGCUGCGUCCCCCAAGGACUCAAGACAUAGCCAACGAAGGAAUCAGGGAAAUGACUAUCUUACACAGGCACAUCCCUGACAGAGGCAAAGGUGUCAUGAGAUCCUGUAAGUCGGCCUGGUUCAAAUCCUGCUUCUUAGUGACUUUGGGCAAGGUACUGAACUUCUCUGUGCUUCAGUGUCUAUCUCUAAAAUGCACCUAUCUUAUGGGGUUGUGGUGAAGACUAAAUGAGACAAUAUGUGUAACAAACUUAGCACAGUGUUUGCCACAAAAUACAGUUGUCCCUCAGUAUCCACAGGGGAUUUGUUUCAGGACCCCCGUGGAUACCAAAAUCCAAGGAUGCUCAAGUCCCUUAUAUAAAAAUGACAUAGUAUUUGCAUAUAACCAAUGUACAACUUCCCAUAUACUUGAAAUGAUCUUAGAUUACUUAUACCUAAUACAAUAUAAAUGCUAUGUAAAUAGUUGUUAUACAAUAUUUUUUAUUUGUAUUAUUUUUUGUUGUUCUAUUUUUUUUUUCCUGAAUACUUUUUAUUGCAGUUGGUUUAAUCUGUGGAUGAGGGCCGACUAUAAGCCUCUGUAAGUGUUAGCUAUUGUUAUUAUUCUCUUCCUCUCUCUAAGGGGUUCCCCAGCCCUGGAUCUGCCCUACUUCGCCUUGUGAAGGCCCCACAGCUUGCUUACCUCAGCAACUCACAGCGGAAGUGUGACAAACGUUCAUAGGCAAAUGUCUGGUCAGAUGUCAACUUGUUGCUCCACAGCCUUUCGGCAACAGCCCCUGCUCUGGGCCUGGAGGAAAGGGGGCAUGUGCCAGAUUGGGCUCUGUAUUCCCUGCAAAGGUGCUGGACAUCCACAGGCUGCUACCUCUUGUCUAGGCACCCUGGACUAGCUCAGGCCAAAGGAAGUGAUCAAUACCUUGUUAUGAGCCACAGCCAGGUUGGAUGGCUCCCAGAGAGUUCUAGGGCUCAGCACCACCUUCAUUAAAAUGUGGGUAGCAAUCCCACUCUCUUCCUCUCUCAAAGAUAUGGGAAUAAGAAUAAACCUUAAAGGCAUCAUUAACCACAAUGACAGUGGCAGCAGCAGAGGUCCUUAAAAUGUAAACUCUGCACACCCAACCAUACUUGGUAAGGCUGCAGUGAAAACAGUAGAGGGAAGCCUUAUUACAGGAAUCAUGGAUGCUUGUGCUGGAUCUUAAGCAACUCACCUAUGUUCUCCAGGCCUCAUUAUCUCUCUGGGAAGUGAGGUUAACAAUCCCUAUCCCACAUACCAAAGGGCGGCUGGAGAGAUAUAGAUGGAAGUCAUGUGGAGAGUGAAUAUUGCACACAAAUCUUCAGAAGGCUCGUUGCACGGCCUGCUCUCUCUCAGGCCUGAAAGAAGGGUACUAGUCCAGAGGUGGCUAGAUGGGAUUGGGUCUGUAAGGGAGAACCCCUGCUCUCAGGCCCAACCCUCCACCUCCCCCCCAAAAACCCUUACCAGAGCCUGGGGACCAGGUUUGUGUUGUCCACAUAUUCUCCCCACAUACAAGCCUCUCCACCAAUCACCAGAGCCUUCUGCUCAGGGGUACCUGAGGGAAAACAAGCAACAACAGUCUGGUGAUGGUGGGGUAACUCUAGGGUCCCUCUCAACCACCUUCCCAAUGUGUCCCUCACCCCAGCUAAGUUGUUUCAUUUACUAACUGAAAAUGUCUGGCCCAGACCUCCCUGCCUCCCAUCCUGUGCCCCAGCCCAGCCUCCUUUGGUUAGCAAGGAGAGCUCUCUGCUUUCACCUUCAAAUGCCAGGGGUUCCACUACGUAGAAAUCCUUCCAGUCAGGGCCGUAGGAUAUACGAUUCAGGUACCAGGGGGCGGAGAGAAGGGCCCGGAAGCCAGCCUUGGUGACCAGUUCCAGCUCCUUCAUAUAGUUCACUGGAGUAUCUUCUCGCCACACCUGUAUGAUUGUGUCUGGCCGAAUCUGUUAUAAAAGGUCAAAUGGCAGUAAGGACACAAAGCUGAGGAGAUUCCUGGGCCUUAUUCAUACACAGGCAACAUGGGACAACAGAUUCUACCCUGGUGGUCAGAUUCCUCGGCAUCCACUCUAGGCACAACUACCUGCAAUGGCAUCUGAGAAAAAUGUGCCCUUACAUAGUCUAACAGUACAUAUUUUAAUAGUAAGAAGCAGCCUCCAUUGUCCAAAGUGAGUUCUUCCUAUCUAAAUUCCCAGGUGGAAGAAGUCAAUGGAAAACAUUCUUCCAAGGACCAAGACUGGGAUAUGCCACUUCCAUGAGCCAGUGCCCUGAAGCUUCACUCUGAGCAUAAUAAGCAGAGUCCCUCUGGUCCCAGACAUCAUUCUUACCUGGUCCCCAGGACAAAGUGUGGCCAGGAGUGUCAAACUCUGCAAGCACGCGGAUACCCCGGAGCCGUGCGUAUUCAAUGACCUCCUUCACAUCCUGUGCUGUGUAGAUGUGGGUGACAGGGUUGUAGGACCCCUGAAAGGCACAAGACACCCUUCAGGUUCACAUUUCCGAAAGCUAGCAGAGUAGAAGAUACUCAAAAUGCCCACAAGACUCCCCAGAUAUCAGAAAACCUGCCCAUAGCCCUUUGGUGUCAGGGACUAUUUUCAAAAAACUUGAUCAUUCAAUUUCCCAGAAGUUAUCACAUCUGUUUUAUCUGAGUAUCAUAAUGCCAGUGAGAUAAUCAUGGUAGGUAUUAAUAUUAUGUCCAUUUAACAGAAUAUAAAUACAUAAAAAGGGAAUAAGGCCAGAAGAGAUUCUCUCCUGAAGGUCACAAGGCAAAUUAUUGGCAAAGUUUUGGACUUGAACUCAAGUCUCCUGACUCCAAAUCCAGUGUCCUUCCCCUAUAUUGGUCUAAAACUGGCUGGUUAGGAUGAGAGACCCUGUUCUUGCCAGCAGGGCCACAGCCAGAUUCAGACAUUGACCCAUAAACUUGGUCAGAGUGAAAUGGGGACAUACCUUUCUCAUGAGCUCUGGAAAAGUGAAGCUCUCAUAUGGGAAGGAAGGAUCAUCUACCAGAUGCCAGUGGAACACGUUCAAUUUAUUGUACGCCAUGACAUCCUGUAGGUUAAAGUGCACACUGUGAACUCAUCACAGUCUCUCCAGUUUCAGCCUCAAACUUGCGAUGUUGGGCAGGCUCUCAGGCUGCUCCACACACCCCUACAGGCUUGACCUGCCUCAGCUCUCAAUUAAAUGUUUAUGGGGUCUAUUAAACCUUCCCAUCAGGGAGGGAUGACAUGGAGGGAAGGUCCAGCACACUUCUACUUUUCCCAGAACACAUCCAAAGAUGGAUGACAGAAGUGGUCUUUCCUCUUUUUGAAAUAAAUUCUGGCUACAUUAAGAGGAGGGCUGCAGCUACUGUGGUAGCCUGGAAUCUUCCAAAAGCCUGAAGAUAACACUUCCUCUUGCCAUUUGUGUUGGGUUGUCUGACUGAUGUUAAGCCCAACUGUGAGACCUCCUGGGAACUUAGUAGCCUCUUAACUCAUAAUCUCAGAAGCCAAGGCUGGCAGAUGUGUCACCUCCUUUGGUUCCGUCACAGGAGCAAAGGAAAAGGCAGACACAGGAACUGGAUCAGGAACUGUCAGAUAAGACUGCACAUUAAACUCAAGAGAGUUAGGAA